rnacentral:rRNA from 1 species
GGGUCAGUAGGUUGGUCGUGCCACCGGUACGUACUGGUCUCACUGAUUCCUCCUUCCUGAAGAACCGUAAUGCCAUUAAUUUGGUGUUGCGGGGAAACAGGACUGUUACUUUGAAAAAUUUAGAGUGUUUAAAGCAAGCUAACGCUUGAAUACAUUAGCAUGGAAUAAUGAAAUAGGACGAUCGAUCCUAUUUUGUUGGUUUCUAGGAUUGACGUA